GUGCUCACUUUGGCAGCACACAUACCAAAAUGGGAACAAUACAGAGGAGGUGAGCAUGGGCUCUGCACAGGGAUGACAUGAGAAUUCAUGAAGCAUUCCGUAUUUUU
rfam:Calypte anna contig41361, whole genome shotgun sequence.